rnacentral:piRNA from 1 species
UAGAAACACUGUUGAGUAACAGUCUUCAGC